rnacentral:lncRNA from 1 species
UGAGUUGAGCCUUUUAAUUUCUGUUUUUCAAAAAGUCAACUCAUAUUGCGAGAGGUGAGUUGAGCCUUUUAAUUUUUGUUUUUCAAAAAGUCAACACAUAUUGCAAGAGGUGAGUUGAGCCUUUUAAUUUUUGUUUUUCAAAAAGUCAACACAUAUUGCAAGAGGUGAGUUAAGCCUUUUAAUUUCUGUUUUUCAAAAAGUCAACUCAUAUUGCGAGAGGUGAGUUGAGCCUUUUAAUAUCUAUUUUUAAAGAGUCAAUUCAUAUUGCGAGAAAUGAGUUGAGCUCAAGAUCACAUGCCGAGCAAGAAUAAAGAUUGAAGCUGAUGAAAGACACCAUUUGGCCUCCUUGAAGUUGCAGUAAAGUAGGUCAAAGUUACAAGUCUCGUCCCCCUGAAGUUGCAGUAGAGCUGAUCGAAGAUAUCAAAGCUUGCCUUUUUAGAGUUACAGAAGAGAAGAUCACAAACCCUAUCUCACUGAAGCGAUAGAAGAGCAGAUUGAAGCUGUAGACCUCAUCUUUCUGAAGCUGCAUGGAAGCAGAUCAAAGCUACAAAUCUCAUAUCUUUGAAGUUACAUUGAAGUAGAUUGAAGCUACAAAGCAUAUAUCAGAAGAUGCAAUGGACCAAAGCUACAAGAUACGAUGGACUGGAAGAAGACUAUUUGAACAAGAAGAACACCAAUGAAGUCAAGACUCAGCAAGACUAGGCAAAAUUGACCUUUCAUUAUGUCUUUGCUCCAUUCCCGUUGCACGACAAUGAGCAAAGAGGGGCAGCUGUACAGGCCAAUUUUGGACCCAAUACAACAAAACAUUAACCCAACCUCAACUCAUUUACAUCAGACCCAAUAACCCCCAAACCUUAACCCAAAUCAAACCCAUUCCCAAUACAUUACCCAAAUCAUUAAGCCCAUUAUCCAAACCCUACCCAAUCAGCUACCCGGAGCCCAAUGUUACCCACAAGCCCGUUUGCAAUAUUCAGCCCCAACCCACCUAAACCCAAAUCUACCUAUAACCUAAACACUCAACCCCAAGCCCAGAAGCCCAAUUUUAGACAUUAAGGUUUCAGUUUCUGAAACCCUAAACCUGCCUAGCGCCGCACCACCCCCACCAACCCUCUGACGGCCCCAUGCCCUCUGACGUUGCCUCAACAACCGCUCCACCGUCCUCCAUAUUGCACCAUCCCCUGCAAGCAUUAAAAGAGAAUAGACAGCAAGCAAGAAGAGAGCAGUAUAUAAUCAAAACAUACAAUGUAAAAAGGGGGUUCCUUUUUUCGUCAGUUUUGAAAACAAAAAGAAAUAAGAACAAACCAUUUUAAAUAUUAAGCAACAAUAGCAUUUCCCUCAGUACUUAGACACAAAAAAAUAGCAACCAAGCAAAAAGAACAUCUCAGAUCAAAGAAACAGAAACUAAAACCGAAAGGUGAUUAUUUUUUUCCUAUUUCUAUUUCAUUUUUUUAACCUGUUUUAAUCUACCAUACAUAUUAAAAUAUAAUAAGAUAAUAAAA